rnacentral:misc_RNA from 1 species
GAUGAAGAACGUAGCGAAAUGCGAUAAGUAAUGUGAAUUGCAGAAUUCAGUGAAUCAUCGAAUCUUUGAACGCACAUUGCGCCCGCGAGUAUUCUCGCGGGCAUGCCUGUCCGAGCGUCAUUUCAACCCUCAGGGCCCGCCUGCUUCGGCAGGCGCGGCGCUGGUGUUGGGGAUCGGCCUAACCGCCGUCCCCCAAAUACAGUGGCGGUCUCGCUGCAGCCUCCCCUGCGUAGUAGCAACACUCGCAUGCGGAGUGCGGCGCGGCCACGCCGUAAAACCCCCGACUUUCUGAACGUUGACCUCGGAUCAGGUAGGAAUACCCGCUGAACUUAAGCAUAUCAAUAAGCGGAGGA